rnacentral:lncRNA from 1 species
UAUCUAUCUAAUCAACUUGGGCUAUUAAUUAGAUAGUCCGUAAUCAACUUGAAAAACAUAUAAGUCUAAUUACGGUAAGAGCCUUGGUGCAUCAUUGUAAAGUCACCUUUGGGCUAACAAUACAACACGCUAUAAGGUACUCUUAAGACAUAUCAUGAAGCCAAUUAACAAAGUCACAUCAGCUUUCGAAACACCAUCGCCUUUGGGCA